rnacentral:rRNA from 1 species
GACAGAGGGGGCAAGCGUUGUCCGGAGUGACUGGGCGUACAGCGCGCGCAGGCGGUUGGUGACGUGCCGUGUCACAGCCCUGAGCUCAACUCAGGGUGGCCACGGUAGACGCACCGGCUGGAGGCAGGGAGAGGGAUGUGGAAUACCCGGUGGAGCGGUGAAAUGCGUAGAGAUCGGGUGGAACACCAGUGGCGAAGGCGGCAUCCUGGACCGGUAUUGACGCUGAGGAGCGAAAGCGUGGGGAGCAAACAGG